rnacentral:rRNA from 1 species
AUUGAACGCUGGCGGCAGGCCUAACACAUGCAAGUCGAGCGGAGCGGCGGACGGGUGAGUAAUGCCUAGGAAUCUGCCUGGUAGUGGGGGAUAACGUCCGGAAACGGGCGCUAAUACCGCCUACUAUCAGAAGAGCCUAUGUCGGAUUAGCUAUUUGUGGGGGUAAAGGCCUACCAAGGCGACGAUCCGUAACUGGUCUGAGAGGAUGAUCAGUCACACUGUAACUGAGACACGGUCCAGACUCCUACGGGAGGCAGCAGUGGGGAAUAUUGGACAAUGGGCGAAAGCCUGAUCCAGCCAUGCCGCGUGUGUGAAGAAGGUCUUCGGAUUGUAAAGUACUUUCAGCGGGGAGGCGUUACCCGCAGAAGAAGCACCGGCUAACUCCGUGCCAGCAGCCGCGGUAAUUC